rnacentral:rRNA from 1 species
UGGGGAAUUUUGGACAAUGGGGGAAACCCUGAUCCAGCCAUCCCGCGUGUGCGAUGAAGGCCUUCGGGUUGUAAAGCACUUUUGGCAGGAAAGAAACGUCAUGGGUUAAUACCCCGUGAAACUGACGGUACCUGCAGAAUAAGCACCGGCUAACUACGUUCCAGCAGCCGCGGUAAUACGUAGGGUGCAAGCGUUAAUCGGAAUUCCUGGGCGUAAAGCGUGCGCAGGCGGUUCGGAAAGAAAGAUGUGAAAUCCCAGAGCUCAACUUUGGAACUGCAUUUUUAACUACCGGGCUAGAGUGUGUCAGAGGGAGGUGGAAUUCCGCGUGUAGCAGUGAAAUGCGUAGAUAUGCGGAGGAACACCGAUGGCGAAGGCAGCCUCCUGGGAUAACACUGACGCUCAUGCACGAAAGCGUGGGGAGCAAACAGG